AUAUCAGUCAUGCAUAGCAUAUCAAUAAGCGGAGGAAAAGAAACUAACAAGGAUUCCCCUAGUAACGGCGAGUGAAGCGGGAAGAGCUCAAAUUUGAAAUCUUAAAGGGUUUCCCUUUACGAAUUGUAGUUUAAAGAAGUGUUUUCUGUUGAGGUUUUGGUAAAAGUUCUUUGGAAUAGGACAUCAUAGAGGGUGAGAAUCCCGUAUUUGACCUUUACUUUCAACUUUGUGAUACACUUUCAAAGAGUCGGAUUGUUUGGGAAUGCAGUCCAAAAUGGGUGGUAAAUUUCAUCUAAAGCUAAAUAUUGGCGAGAGACCGAUAGCGAACAAGUACCGUGAGGGAAAGAUGAAAAGAACUUUGAAAAGAGAGUUAAACAGUACGUGAAAUUGUCAAAAGGGAAGCGUUUGACACCAGUGUUGUUUUUCUGAAAAUCAAUUAAAGAACUGUUUAUGCUAAGUUGUUUAGACUUUAUCAGCUAACUGUUUAGUUUUGAGCUUUUCUUUAAUGCACUUUUCAGUUAACAAGUCAACAUCAAUUUCUUUUGCUGUAAAAAAGCUUGAGGAAGGUGGCUUGAGAUUCGUCUUAAGUGUUUAUAGCCCCUUGCCUAUGCAGUCGGAGAGAUUGAGGUCUGCAGCGUAGAUCCUUCGGGGCUAAAUGCAUUUGUGCUAAGUUAUAGCAUUUUAUAGACAACUUGUUGACUAUGAUUUGUCUUGUAGCUUACUCGCUUAUGUUAUUUUACCUACGCUUAGGAUGUUGACGCGCGUGUGUGCGUG
rnacentral:rRNA from 1 species